CAGCAUGGAAUGCAGAUGCAAUGACUAGAGUUGGAGCAAUUUAUUGGACUUGAAGUAAUCUGAAGAAUGAAGAUCACACAAAAUAUAAUACGUUUGGGUAUCAAAAAUAUAAUUGUAAAAUGAAGCAAGGAUCUCUUCUAUCUUUUCACUGAAAAAGUCUAACAUAGGAAAUAAAUUUUGAAGAUUUGGUUAAACUCAUCUAUGUGGUUAUGGUGCCAUGAAUUGGACAAAAUUAAAUUCGUCCUUGGACCCCUGGAACCUCUCCUCCAGGACCCCAGGUGUACGCUUCUGAAGACUUGGUUUCACUCCUGACUGAUUAGGGAUCC